rnacentral:rRNA from 1 species
AUUGAACGCUGGCGGCAGGCCUAACACAUGCAAGUCGAACGAGCGGCGGACGGGUGAGUAAUGUAUGGGAAACUGCCCGAUGGAGGGGGAUAACUACUGGAAACGAUAGCUAAUACCGCAUCCCAUCGGAUGUGCCCAGAUGGGAUUAGCUAGUAGGUGGGGUAAUGGCUCACCUAGGCGACGCUCUCUAGCUUGUCUGUGAGGAUGACCAGCCACACUGGAACUGAGACACGGUCCAGAAUCGUACGGUAGGCAGCAGUGGGGAAUAUUGCACAAUGGGCGCAAGCCUGAUGCAGCCAUGCCGCGUGUAUGAAGAAGGCCUUCGGGUUGUAAAGUACUUUCAGCGAGGAGGCGUUACUCGCAGAAGAAGCACCGGCUAACUCCGUGCCAGCAGCCGCGGUAAUUC